rnacentral:rRNA from 1 species
GACGAACGCUGGCGGCGUGCUUAACACAUGCAAGUCGAACGGAAAGGCCCUGCUUUUGUGGGGUGCUCGAGUGGCGAACGGGUGAGUAACACGUGAGUAACCUGCCCUUGACUUUGGGAUAACUUCAGGAAACUGGGGCUAAUACCGGAUAGGAGCUCCUGCUGCAUGGUGGGGGUUGGAAAGUUUCGGCGGUUGGGGAUGGACUCGCGGCUUAUCAGCUUGUUGGUGGGGUAGUGGCUUACCAAGGCUUUGACGGGUAGCCGGCCUGAGAGGGUGAAAGGCCACAUUGGGACUGAGAUACGGCCCAGACUCCUACGGGAGGCAGCAGUGGGGAAUAGUGCACAAUGGGCGGAAGCCUGAUGCAGCAACGCCGCGUGCGGGAUGACGGCCUUCGGGUUGUAAACCGCUUUCGCCUGUGACGAAGCGUGAGUGACGGUAAUGGGUAAAGAAGCACCGGCUAACUACGUG